AACGAACGCUGGCGGCAGGCUUAACACAUGCAAGUCGAACGCUCGACCUUCGGGUCGGGAGUGGCAGACGGGUGAGUAACGCGUGGGAACGUACCCUUCGGUUCGGAAUAACCCAGGGAAACUUGGGCUAAUACCGGAUACGUCCUGGCCUGGAGACAGGGUGGGAGAAAGGUUUACUGCCGAAGGAUCGGCCCGCGUCGGAUUAGCUAGUUGGUGGGGUAACGGCCCACCAAGGCGACGAUCCGUAGCUGGUCUGAGAGGAUGAUCAGCCACACUGGGACUGAGACACGGCCCAGACUCCUACGGGAGGCAGCAGUGGGGAAUAUUGCACAAUGGGCGAAAGCCUGAUGCAGCGACGCCGCGUGAGGGAUGAC
rnacentral:rRNA from 1 species